GUACUCACUUUUUCGGCACAUGUUUUAAAAUUUGGACGAUACAGAAGAUCAGCAUGGCCCCUGCUCAAGGACGACACGCGAAAUCGUGAAGCAUUCCAUAUUUUA
rnacentral:snRNA from 1 species